rnacentral:tRNA from 1 species
CUGGGGGGGCGCGGCCCCGUAAGCAAGGCUACAACUUGCCACCUACUCGGCCACCUCUACCUGA